AUUGAACGCUGGCGGCAUGCUUUACACAUGCAAGUCGAACGGCAGCGCGGGCUUCGGCCUGGCGGCGAGUGGCGAACGGGUGAGUAAUGCAUCGGAACGUGCCCAGUAGUGGGGGAUAGCUCGGCGAAAGCCGGAUUAAUACCGCAUACGACCUGAGGGUGAAAGCGGGGGAUCUUCGGACCUCGCGCUAUUGGAGCGGCCGAUGGCAGAUUAGCUAGUUGGUGGGGUAAAGGCCUACCAAGGCGACGAUCUGUAGCUGGUCUGAGAGGACGACCAGCCACACUGGGACUGAGACACGGCCCAGACUCCUACGGGAGGCAGCAGUGGGGAAUUUUGGACAAUGGGCGAAAGCCUGAUCCAGCAAUGCCGCGUGUGUGAUGAAGGCCUUCGGGUUGUAAAGCACUUUUGGCGGGAACGAAAAGGACUGUGCCAAUACCACGGUUCGAUGACGGUACCCGCAGGAUAAGCACCGGCUAACUACGUG
rnacentral:rRNA from 1 species